rnacentral:rRNA from 1 species
UUCGGGCGCCGGCGAGUGGCGAACGGGUGAGUAACACGUGGAGACCUAUCCAUUGGUGGGGGACAACAGCUGGAAACGGCUGCUAAUACCGCAUAAUCCCUACGGGGGAAAGAUUUAUCGCCAUAGGAGGGUUCCGCGUCGGAUUAGCUAGUUGGUGGGGUAACGGCCUACCAAGGCAACGAUCCGUAGCUGGUCUUAGAGGAUGAUCAGCCACACUGGGACUGAGACACGGCCCAGACUCCUACGGGAGGCAGCAGUGGGGAAUAUUGCGCAAUGGAGGAAACUCUGACGCAGCGAUGCCGCGUGGGUGAAGAAGGCCUUAGGGUUGUAAAGCCCUUUCAGUGGGAACGAUAGUGACGGUACCCACAGAAGAAGCCCCGGCUAACUCCGUGCCAGCAGCCGCGGUAAUACGGAGGGGGCGAGCGUUGUUCGGAAUUAUUGGGCGUAAAGCGCGCGUAGGCGGUUUAUCAAG